rnacentral:rRNA from 1 species
GACGAACGCUGGCGGCGUGCUUAACACAUGCAAGUCGAACGGAAAGGCCCUGCUUUUGUGGUGUGCUCGAGUGGCACACGUGUGUAUCACACGAGUGUACUGCGCUUUUGUCUUUGGUAUAACUUCGAGAAACUGGGGCUUAUCCGGGAUAAGCGCUCCUGCUGCAGGGGGUGGUUGGGAGAGUUGGCGGUUUUGGAUGGACUCGCGGCUUAUCAGCUUGUUGGUGGGGUAUUGGCUCACCAAGGCGCUGACGGGUAGCCGGCCUGAGAGGGUGACCGGCCACAUUGGGACUGAGAUACGGCCCAGACUCCUACGGGAGGCAGCAGUGGGGAAUAUUGCACGAUGGGCGGAAGCCUGAUGCAGCAACGCCGCGUGCGGGAUGACGGCCUUCGGGUUGUAAACCGCUUUCGGCUGUGACGAAGCGUAAGUGACGGUAAUGGGUAAAGAAGCACCGGCUAACUACGUG